CAGUCUGAAAAAAAAAAAAAGGGGGGGGGGGGGCAAGAAUUUCUUCUGUCAAAAUAUAAUUAAUGAAAAGCAGCACCAUAAAACAGUUUGAAAUACAAAAGUGCUGGCAGAACUCUUAAAUUUAUAUAAACUUUUUUUUAAACUCCAAACUUAAUUUAAAUAUACAUUUAUAUAAUUGCGUCAUUUAUGUAACGUCCACUAGGUUCUAGAUAGAUUAGGUGCUGAAAGUUAGGAAAAGAAGCCUGAUGUCCAAGAAGCCCUGAGAGACCCUUGAUUUUGCUGAGUCUUCCACAAGAUACCACUGUUUCUUGAUUAUGAAAAUACGUGGGUUUUUUUUGUAUAUUUUGGUUUGUUGUGUAUACAUACAAACACAUGCACUUCAGGAUUUAGCUACUAGAAACAAAACAGCACAUUGCUAAGACUUUCAGUUGUCAGUACAAUACAAGUGGGGUCAAAAAUGGUUUUGGACAGCAGCAGCCCAUGGAGGUUAUCACAUAUUGACUAAACUAUUCUCAGCCUCUCACUAUAGAAAUGAAACACAGCCUCUCAACCAUGUGACACAAAGCACAUCAGUUACUCAUCUACAGUACCUACCACAUCAAGUGUGCUCCACAGCAUGUGGAAAGCUCCAUCUCCUGUAUUACAGUUUUACUAAUAUCUAAGAGCUGUCACUGGCUCACAGAUGGCUCACAAAUGCAUUUUGUUAGUAAAUUUCUUAUUAAGACAGGGGCAUGCUCCCAUCAUUUUUAGUAUUCGUAUUUCCUUUAGUUAACAUUUCUUACAGCUUGAUAUUAAAGAUAAUGACUGAUAUUAUCUGGAAAUGGUGAGUAAUAGGAAAGGACAUUUUACUUAGAGAGAUUUGCAACGGGGGGUUCUAGCCUUUCAAAUCCUUCAUGCUUCCUGGUAAUAGACAAGAAAAAUACUACCUGACAAUUUAAAGCUGAUAAUGAAAAGUCAAAACAUACUUUAGAUAUGAGUAACACAUCUGCCCAUGAAAUAUGAUAUAUAGAAAAUAUAUUUUCAUAUUAAAACAUUAUAAAUAAUAUGCAACAUCUAAUGGAAAAAGAUAUUCUCUACAUUGAAGACCUUGGUUCUACCCAACCUCCAAGAGCAGCUGACAAUCUGAUGAACUCCCUAAGGCCACAAUGCUUUGUGUCAAAUAAUGAUAUUAUUCACCCUGCAAUGACUACUACAGAGAAUUUACAUUGUGCUAGUGCGUGGAAGUGUUGUCAUUUCAGAGGAAAGUUCAGUAUCAGAUCUCUAGCUGAAUUUUCAUUCCUGAAGGUCUCUUACCCACGUACAGAUACGGAAUGAUCCCGUUUGAUGUGUAUGACCAGACGAGAUCACAGCCUAGGUAUCACAGAGUGUAUGGAUUAUGUCUGAAAACUGCACAUCCAUUUUCAUGAAUAGGGAAAGAUUUCAGUCAGGAAGAACAUACUACUUCGUUGUCAAAUUUGCUGUAGGUAUUAAAAAAUACAAGGUCACAUGACAAAAUGAAUAAGAAAGAUAUUUUGUGUUACUUUCAGUCAUCAUACUGUAAUUAAAUGUUCAAAUAUUAAUGAGAGCUAAUAAUGAGUACUAUGUAUUGAUUACAGUUCAGGCACUGGUUUAUGUACUUAAACUGAGUUUUAUAGAUUUAUCCUACAAUUUUUUCACCAGUAUUUUUCUAUACAGACCAAUUUCAUUCGCACUUUGAGUUCACUUACAGAAGAUGCAAGAGAAGACAACUGUUUUGAAGAGAAGUUAAGGGCUUUUAAACAGCAAGAGAAAGCUUCCGACUAUCAUUAUAUGAAGAGAACUCUAUUUAAAUAAAUACAAAAUCAGGCUUUUACAUUUUAAUCCUGGUCAAGAAAAUACUCACUGAUGAAAAGUAAGUUGGAGAGGGAAAAACAGUUAUUACCAGAAUGCAUGACAAACCAUAAAUGAAAUCUACAUCAAGGGCUUACUUCUGAAUGUACUGAGACAAACUAACUACAGCAGAUCAUAACCACGCUUAUAACUCAAUGAAGGAGCUUCUGGAGAGGACAAUAAUGUGCACUGAUUUGAUGGUGUUAAAAAUCAAGACUGGAAGCUGAAUAAUGGAUUCAGAAAUUAGGAUCUCCUUGUGCUGCAAUCAUGAUUCACUUGUUUGCUUCUCAUUCGGGUGGGUUUAAGGACUUCUGUACGCUCUUAAAAAAGACAUAAAGCUUUAAGAGUGAAUGGGAUUCCUGAACUGUAUGAGAAAACCUCCUGCUUAUGCUCUUUUCCUCCACCUGCUAUCUUUCCUUCUGUUAGUUACGUGUUUCUUUCUCCUAUUUUUUCCAGUGUUCUGCUUGUGUAAUGGCAGAAUGGAAAGGUCUGGUAGCCCAUUUUAUCUAUGUGCUGCUGCUAAAAGCCGGGAAGCAGAUAAAACAGAAGUAUCUAGGCAAGAAAACAGGGACAGGAACACCAGGAAAAAAUUUUAAAAAAUAAAAUAAAAGAGUAGAGAGGAGAUUCGCAAGCCAUCAGAACCACAACAUCAUAACCAUUAUAAGGUGCAUGGAAACAGGUAAAUUCUCCAUGGAAAAAAAAAAUGAAAAAAGGAUAAAAAUUUUAGAAGAAAAAAAAAAUGAAUUUCAUUAAUAAUUUUAAAAAAUUUUUCCUCUUUCUCUAACAGAGAGAAAUCUUAACAGAAACCAGAAGGGAACAUGAACUUAUACAGUUUUGCUUUUCAUUAGUGUAGCGAUAGACACCAGUGAAAGUAGGUGAAAAUUUUGAAGGAGAGAUAGUAAUUGCAGCUGUUAAUUUCUUUUUUAUUUUUAACAGCCUACAGGGUAUACAUGUUUUAAAAAAAAAAAAAGACAAGUUCUUGCAAGCAAAACUAAUUUAAACAUGCAUAUUUUAGUCAUUACAAAGAGGCUUAUUACUCUUUUUUAUUUUAUCUUUCUUAAAAAUACCCAGUCAAUUGCUUGUGGCUUAAAUGUGGAGACAAUGAAAAACUACUUCAACAUCUAUGCCACACCCUGCAGGCUUUAGAAAGAGAACACAACUG